UGGCGGCGGGGUCCUAGCCCUCCCAACCGCCUUGGCGCGGGCCGCGCUCCCCGACCCCCAGCCCGCCCCGAGGGCGCCAGCAUAGGAGUGAAACAGGCUGAUUCAGGCGGAGUUUGCUGUGGGAACAUCGCGCGUGGGGCAGGAGCCUGCGACUGGCAAGACCAAGGAAACCCGCUGCCUGGGUGCUCGCUGGACCUAUCGGAAACUUAGGUCUCCCGCAGCCGGGUGGACCGCAACUCUAUUUGCCCCAAGGCUGGGACGGACUGAAUAGGGACCGAAGGAAACAGGCGGAGAGGAGCCCUGCCACCCCUGGCCCACCACGGAAUUUGUAGAUGAGCUUUCCAGGAGCGCUGUGCAAGGCGACAGCGGCGUGCAGACCCACUUUGGGACAGGUUAUAAUCAUCUUCCUUUUCACAAAGGCUCAAGCCAGUCUAAGAUCUGAGGCAGUGGUGAGCAGAUAACAAGAUCCAAUUAUUCCUCCUUGGUGUGCUGAGCCACUUAAUCUUGAGGCAGAUCUAACUCCUGUUAUUGCUCAAAAAACACAGGGAUGAGGUGCCUAAAGAUAAUUUAAUAAGCAUGAUUAAUUUUCAAUGAUUCCAGAGCUUCAGGAGUUCUGUGAAUGAACCCUCUGCCUCCAAACUGAAGCAAGAUGGUCUUCAAGUACCAGAAAAUUCUGUUUUAAUUUAACCUAAAUUCUUGAGGGCUUUUAAAUCCAUUUUCCCUGGAGUUCUGCAUUUACUCGCUCCCUCCUUAAAGUAUUUGAAGAAACUGU